GCCCCCUUGCCCGACGGCACGCGGCCCUGCACGCGAGGCUGGCUCUACGCGCUGCCCGUCGCUGGCCUCUGGCGCAGCCCGGUCAUCCAGGUGGGCGCCGGUCCCCGGCGGGGGCGAUGGUCGCCGGGGCGGCCGGGCCGCGGGGUGGGGGCACGGACGAGGUCGCCCAGCCAAGCGCGGCCAGGCCUUUGCCCCACCACCGUCCGCGCUGGCCGAGAGUGCCCACCUGCUGUCUCUGGGCCCUGGCACCAGCCCGGCCGCCUCCGCGCCCCACCCGCAGCUUGCACGGUGCGGUGUUGAAGGGCAAGCCUGGCUCUCCCGGCCCACAGCAGCUGAGCUCGCGGGCGUGGGUGGGAAAGGGGAGGCCGGGUCAAGGGCCGCUGCCCGGAAGGAAGAGCCCUCGAGGCGCCCUCCCGUCCCUGUUCCCGGAGCCGCUCUCCAGGCUGGCGGGCGGGGCCGGUGGCCGGGGCGUGACCCUGUCUCCGAGAGGAAGCCCCUUGGCCAGCUGGGGCCGGGCAGGUAGAUAGGUGGGACAAGGUCAGCUAGGGCAAGGGGGCAGCGAGGUCCCCUCUGGAGAAGCAGGAUGGCCGGGGACCCAAGUCCUUACCACCCAGGGCAGAGCAGGGACGCCCAGGCCUGGGCAGACCCACCAGGGCCGGUGCCCUCGGCUGUCUCCCCGUGUCCCGCCAGGGCUCCGAGACCCUGCAUCUGUGGGUCAGGGCUGCUCUCACGUGGCUGCUGUCACGCAGUGGGACCUCGUGUGUGGGGAUGGCUGGAAGGUCCCCCUGCAGCACACGGGCCACCUCCUGGGCUGCCUGCUGGGCGCGGUGCUCCCGGGUGCUGGCUGCGACAGGGGAGCCCUGCCCCUCAUGCCCUCUCCUCGCCACCUUCCUCCCGGUGCCAUCUGUGUCCCCACUCCCACCAGGUUUGGCCGCCGGGCUGUUUUUGUGUCCUCCCUGGUCCUGGCCACUGUCCUUGGGGCCAGCAAGGCCCUGGCUGCCAGUUUCCCUGCCCUCCUGGCCCUGCGGCUGCUCCACGGGGGCGCCCUGGUAGGGGCCUCCCUGGCCCUCUCUGUGGCGCGUGAGUACCAGGGAGCUGCCCCCCACUCUCCCGGGAUGGGUGGUUGCCUGCCCGCCGCGAGUCCUCGGCUCAGGCCACCCCUUCUGCCCCAGGCCUGGAGCUGUGUGACCCCGUGCACCGCCUGGCCUUCUCCUCGGGUGCCAGCCUCUGCUGGGUGCACUACUGCUGCCCAGGCUGGCCGUGUUGGCACAGGACUGGCGCCUUCUGCAGGGGCUGAUUGCUCUGGUGACCGGGCUCCUGCUGCUCUUUUGGGGGUGAAUGUAGUGGGAGCAGGCUGGUGGCUGCCCUGGGAGCAAAUGUACCUGUUCAUUCUCUCUCUCCGAGGAGAGGUCACAGCCAUGCCGCUGUCCCCACCCUCUGGGUCCGGGAGGGGCUGGCCUCUGCGACCCCGGGAAGGAGGUGGAGGAAGCCAGGGCACCCUCACCAACACCACAGGUUCCCAGCCCUGUUUCCCAAGUCUCCCUGCUGGCUGCUGGCCACGGGACAGGUGGCCCAGGCCAGGAGGAUCCUGUGGCACUUCGCGGAAGCCAGCGGUGUGGACCCUGAGCAGGGCUCCCUGGAGGACAGCUCCCUGGCUACAGAGCUGGCCGAGUUGGCUACAGGCAGCACCCAGCCUCGGUACCACUCGGUCCUGGGCCUCCUGCACAGCCACGUCACCUGGAGAAACACGCUCAUCCUGGGCAUCAGCUCGUGAGGAGGGGCGGCUGGGGCUGGGGCUGGGGCUGGCCUUGGCCCCUGGAGCGGGGCAUCUGUCCCUCAGUCCCACAGCGAGGCCUCCCUUCCAGGCUGGUUGGCGGGGGCAUCCGAGCCAGCUUCCUGCGCAGCCUGGCCCCAUGAGAGACAUCCUUCUACCUGCCCUAUUUCCCGGAGGCCGGCCUGGAGGCCACAGCCAUCAUCUGCUUGCUCCUGACUGCUGA
rnacentral:lncRNA from 1 species